UACGAAGGGUGCAAGCGUUAAUCGGAAUUACUGGGCGUAAAGGGUGCGUAGGCGGUUGUUUAAGUCUGUCGUGAAAUCCCCGGGCUCAACUUGGGAAUGGCGAUGGAAACUGGGCAGCUAGAGUGUGUCAGAGGAUGGUGGAAUUCCCGGUGUAGCGGUGAAAUGCGUAGAGAUCGGGAGGAACAUCUGUGGCGAAAGCGGCUCACUGGACCAUAACUGACGCUGAGGCGCGAAAGCUAGGGGAGCAAACAGG
rnacentral:rRNA from 1 species